rnacentral:rRNA from 1 species
GAGGAGAGUGUCCGGUCUAGGCUCUGCCUUGUACUGGACGACUCGAAUCUUUUUUCUGGGGAAGCAAGGUGUCCUUUACUGGGCGCCUUGGGGAACCAGGACGAUUACCUUGAGAAAAAUAGAGUGUUCAAAGCAGGCUUUUGCUUGAAUACGUUAGCAUGGAAUAAUAAAAUAGGACUUUGGUUCUAUUUUGUUGGUUUUAAGGACCAAUGUC